AUGUGUAUAUUCCAGACUAGGGGUUUGGGGGGAUCAUAUUUUGGGGAUCACCUUACAUUUAAUAUAUGCUCUCUGAUUAAAAUGUUCCAAAACACAAACCCUGACCCACUCAUAAAACUGUCUACUCUCUAUUUUCAAGAUAACUCCUUCUUUAAAAGGAAGAGAAUUUCUUUUCAUGUGGACUAUAAGAAAUACAACACUGAGAGUCAGAAAGCUUGGAUUCCAAAGAUGAUUGCAACGAGAUUGGAUCAUAUGAUUCUGAAAUCCUGUGAUCUUCUAAGAAAUAUGAUCAGUGAAUCCAGAUUUGAGAGAAUUGAUCUCUGCAAGUUGACCACAGUCAGGGCACAGGGGAUGACGGAUGACGGGCAGAUUUUGUGUCUGUAUGAGACACCACAUGUGAGAGCAACUGCUUGGAUCAUGAUCUCAGCUCCCAGCUGACCAGCACUUCCUAUCACAUACCCUGCAUCUGGGCCUCCACAGAAAGCACUGGAAAUGCUAAGUGUUCAAAACUUGGACUAUAUGGGUCAACGCUUUGAAUUUUUAAGUUUCUAAAUUCAUAACUAGAACUUCCUAGAAGAAUUUUAUUCCAGGCAUUAGUACUAGGAAAAAUCAGUGUUCAUCCUUACUUGAAGGAGAAACGAUGUUACUCUUCACUGCUAGUGGGUUGGGAGCUCUAAUCCCAGUCAGUGUGCUGACUGACUAGGACCUCGUCAUGAGCUUCUGUGUGUGUCCUAACUUUACACUUGCAACUAUCUUGGUAGCCAGUUCUUA
rnacentral:lncRNA from 1 species